rnacentral:rRNA from 1 species
GACGAACGCUGGCGGCGUGCUUAACACAUGCAAGUCGAGCGGUAAGGCCCUUUCGGGGGUACACGAGCGGCGAACGGGUGAGUAACACGUGGGUGACCUGCCCUCAGCUCUGGGAUAAGCCUGGGAAGCCGGGUCUAAUACUGGAUAUGACUCCAUGACGCAUGUUGUGGGGUGGAAAGCCUUGUGCGGCUGAGGAUGGGCCCGCGGCCUAUCAGCUUGUUGGUGGGGUGAUGGCCUACCAAGGCGACGACGGGUAGCCGGCCUGAGAGGGCGACCGGCCACACUGGGACUGAGACACGGCCCAGACUCCUACGGGAGGCAGCAGUGGGGAAUCUUGCGCAAUGGGCGAAAGCCUGACGCAGCGACGCCGCGUGAGGGAUGACGGCCUGGUGUAAC